rnacentral:rRNA from 1 species
CGUCACACUAUCAUUAACUGAAUCCAUAGGUUAAUGAGGCGAACCGGGGGAACUGAAACAUCUAAGUACCCCGAGGAAAAGAAAUCAACCGAGAUUCCCCCAGUAGCGGCGAGCGAACGGGGAGGAGCCCAGAGCCUGAAUCAGCAUGUGUGUUAGUGGAAGCGUCUGGAAAGGUGCGCGAUACAGGGUGACAGCCCCGUACACAAAAGCGCAUGUGCUGUGAGCUCGAUGAGUAGGGCGGGACACGUGGUAUCCUGUCUGAAUAUGGGGGGACCAUCCUCCAAGGCUAAAUACUCCUGACUGACCGAUAGUGAACCAGUACCGUGAGGGAAAGGCGAAAAGAACCCCGGCGAGGGGAGUGAAAAAGAACCUGAAACCGUGUACGUACAAGCAGUGGGAGC